GAAAUGCGAUAAGUAAUGUGAAUUGCAGAAUUCAGUGAAUCAUCGAAUCUUUGAACGCACAUUGCGCCCCCUGGUAUUCCGGGGGGCAUGCCUGUCCGAGCGUCAUUACUGCCCUCAAGCGCGGCUUGUGUGUUGGGCCUUCGCCCCCCCGGGGGCGUGCCCGAAAGGCAGUGGCGGCGCCGUGCCCGGUCCUCGAGCGUAUGGGGCUUUGUCACCCGCUCUGGAGGCCCGGCCGGCCGCCGCCGACCCGCCCAGACCUUUAACCGGUUGACCUCGGAUCAGGUAGGAGUUACCCGCUGAACUUAA
rnacentral:misc_RNA from 1 species